GCGCCCAUGGCUCAAUUUGGUAGAGCAGCUGACUCUUAAUCAGCGGGUUCCAGGUUCGAGUCCUGGUGGGCGCACAA
rnacentral:tRNA from 1 species